rnacentral:lncRNA from 10 species
GAGAAUUCUCUCGCCUGCCUUCGGCCCUUAGGCUCCGGGAGAUUGCAAAUAACCUGCUUUCUUUCUGUUCCCAGGUGGCGUCGGACCCCUGUCAGAGAGUAAAUCUCAAGUAAGGUACCUGCCAUCGGCAGAUUUGAGCUUUCUUCUUGGACACCUAAUACCCACAGUCCUCCAGUAAAUCCCAAGUAAGGUACCUGCCCUCGGCAGAUUUGAGCUUUCUUCUUGGACACCUAAUACCCACAGUCCUCCAGGAUAACUUCAGGAAGUGGGUAUUAAUUCUCACGGUAUAAGUGAAGACAUUAAGCACCAGAGUUUAAGUAGCUUGAUCCACUGAAAGAGAUUCAACUGUGUGGAACCUAUGCCGUGGAGAAUUGCUUUCUGCCAUUGUUAUCGUCCAGCAGUUGCCGAAUAGCUCUGACCUGAGCAAAGCAGUGAAACGCGGUGCUGUUGAGUGGGUUGCCACUGCACCUUUUUCAACUACUCUAGUCUUGUGGAGAAAA